UACGGAGGAUCCAAGCGUUAUCCGGAUUUAUUGGGUUUAAAGGGUGCGUAGGCGGAAUGAUAAGUCAGUGGUGAAAGCCCUUCGCUUAACGAAGGAACUGCCAUUGAUACUGUCAAUCUUGAGUACAUUUGAUGUGGGCGGAAUGUGUCAUGUAGCGGUGAAAUGCUUAGAUAUGACACAGAACACCGAUUGCGAAGGCAGCUCACAAAACUGUAACUGACGCUGAGGCACGAAAGCGUGGGUAUCAAACAGG
rnacentral:rRNA from 1 species